AAUAAAUAAAUAAAUAAUAAAUAAAUAAAUAAAUAAAUAAAUAAAUCGAUCAAUCAAUCAAUCAAUCAAUCAAUCUUUAAGGCGGGGGGUGGUGAUGGCACAUGUCUUUAAUUCCAGCACUUGGGAGGCAGAGGCAGGCAGAUUUCUGGAGGCCAGCCUGGUCUACAGAGUGAGUUCCAGGACAGCCAGGGCUACACAGAGAGACCCUGUCUUGGAAAAAAACAAACAAACAAAACAAAAAUGCAUGUGCUUCCCCUUGUAUGUCCUUGGUUCCCAUUUCCGUAGCACGGAUGCCUCUGGAUAGUGGGAAUGAGCUUAUGGCUGUGAUCCACCGCUGUGACUGUUCCUCCCUUCACCAUGCUGGUUCAAAUCAAGAUAAACAUUAUCUGUGUGGACUUUGAUCUCUGCUGCCACUCUGUUCCUGGCUGACAGGGCCAUAUCCCUCUUGAAAUUGGUGAAGCACACAUUUUCUUCUUGAUAAUUGUUUUAUGUAAUGGUUUGAAGGAUUUUGAUAGAAUAUCAACAAAAUAUAUUUGUAGUAGUUGGCACUAAUAAAUACAAAAACUAGUAUUUUUAGUGGCCAAAUUUCUUUUAUUAAUAAAGAUGAAAGUAUUUGAUAGAACAUCACAGAUAAACAUUUUUACUUAGUUCAUUUUGUGAACUGCUUCAUGUUUGUCCUUCUGAAGCAACUAUCUAUUAUGGUCCUUUCCUUUUAUGGUUAAUAAGAGUAGCCUAGUCUCUUAGUUAUGGUUACUGUUUCAUUAUGAAACAUAACUAAAAGGUAGACUAGGGACAAAAGGUUUUAUUUAUUUGCCUGAAUCACGGUCCUUUGAGGGAAGCUGAGGCAGGAACGAGGUAAAAGAGUGCAGAGACCAUGAAGGAGUGUUGUUUACUGGAUGGCACAGCAUGCUUUCUUAUAGCAUCCAGAACCAUGGGGUGGGUCCUCCCACAUCACUUACUAAGAAAAUAACCCACAUACAGGCUUGCCUACAUCCUCAUCUUAUGCAGACACUUUUUCAGGUGACACUCUGUCGGGUGACUCCAGCUUAUGUCAAUUUGACGCAAAACUAUCCGGCAUGCUUGGUUUGAUUCCUUUACUUUGUGUAGGCACACAUGUACCUAAGUCUGUUACCUAUCUUCUGCCUUUUUACAUAGUAGACUUUGAGUGUUUUUGUGAUUGUUCAUUACCAGUGUUCUGACAGCUGACAUUCAUGUGCUACUUGGGUGCUGAGGUGGGUGAAAACAGUACUUUUCUUGCAACACUUAAGGCUAUUUGUGAUAAGCUGAUGGGCAGAUUAGGACAUUCUCCUAUCCUUAAAAACAUUUAAGUGUAAUAGAGCUCUAUUUGUCAACUGUAGCCUUGUUUAUAUUCUGUACCAAUUCUCUUCAUGUAUUAGCAUUGCUGAAUGGCUGCUUCUAAUCUUCUGGAGACUGAAACCCUAAUAAUCAAUUAAUAAUGGAUUUUUUAAAAAUAAUUAUUGACUGGAACUUGACCAUACUCCUGAGACACCUUGUGUUCUCUAGAGUUUAUAUGGCCAGGGUUAGAACUUAAUGGCCCUUGGAAAAAUGUUGUCUUGAAAUGAAAUGUGACCCUGCUGGCAAACCUCAGUUUCUCAGGGGUCUAAAAGCAGGAAGACCACAAGUUCAGCAGUAGUCUGGACAAAUUAAAUUACCCAGACCCUGUUGAUGGGUGGAUGAAUGGACGCAUGCAUGAUUGAUAGAUAGAUAGAUAGAUAGAUAGAUAGAUAGAUAGAUAGAUAGAUAGAUAGAUAGAUAGAUGGCAGACAGACAUUUUAAGAAAAAUAAUUGGGGCUUUAACUCAGUAAGAAAAAUGAUUGAGGUUAUAUUAUAGCUCAGAAAUUGAGUGUUUGUCUACCUCAAGCUUCUAAGUUCAAUUCACCAGGACUGCAACAACAAAAAAAAAGAAGAAAAAUGUUUACAUUUCUGUAAUUCACCAACCAAAACAGUGUUGUGGAUGUCUACAAUUUUAUACCUGUAUUAGUGCUUUUGGUAUAUAGGUUGGGUAUCCUGUAUCUGACGGUGGGGACCAGAUGUGUUUUAGGACUCUGGUUUUGGAAGGUUUCAGAUGUUUAUUCCUUACCUCCCAUCAGUGCUAAAAAUGAAUUUAAUAAAGUACUAUGCAUUUGUCAUCUGUUCCUCUUGUAGGAAUAAAAUUAGAGCUUAGAGGUCUGGAAAGAUGGCUCAGCAGUUAAGAGCAGGCUGCUCAUCCAGAGGACAUGGCUUCGGUUAUCAGCACCCAUCUGACAGCUUGUAACUGUCUGUAACUCCAGCUCCAGGGGUUCCAAUACUGUCCCAAAAAUAUACAUGUAGACAAAUCACCAAUGCACACAAAUAAAAAAGCAUUAGAAAGAAAGAGAGAGAAGAGAGACG
rnacentral:lncRNA from 1 species